rnacentral:rRNA from 1 species
AGCGAACGCUGGCGGCAGGCCUAACACAUGCAAGUCGAACGAACCUUUCGGGGUUAGUGGCGGACGGGUGAGUAACACGUGGGAACGUGCCUUUAGGUUCGGAAUAACUCAGGGAAACUUGUGCUAAUACCGAAUGUGCCCUUCGGGGGAAAGAUUAUCGCCUUUAGAGCGGCCCGCGUCUGAUUAGCUAGUUGGUUGAGGUAAUGGCUCACCAAGGCGACGAUCAGUAGCUGGUCUGAGAGGAUGAUCAGCCACAUUGGGACUGAGACACGGCCCAAACUCCUACGGGAGGCAGCAGUGGGGAAUCUUGCGCAAUGGGCGAAAGCCUGACGCAGCCAUGCCGCGUGAAUGAUGAAGGUCUUAGGAUUGUAAAAUUCUUUCACCGGGGACGAUAAUGACGGUACCCGGAGAAGAAGCCCCGGCUAACUUCGUG